GACGAACGCUGGCGGCGUGCUUAACACAUGCAAGUCGAACGGAAAGGCCCUGCUUUUGUGGGGUGCUCGAGUGGCGAACGGGUGAGUAACACGUGAGUAACCUGCCCUUGACUUUGGGAUAACUUCAGGAAACUGGGGCUAAUACCGGAUAGGAGCUCCUGCUGCAUGGUGGGGGUUGGAAAGUUUCGGCGGUUGGGGAUGGACUCGCGGCUUAUCAGCUUGUUGGUGGGGUAGUGGCUUACCAAGGCUUUGACGGGUAGCCGGCCUGAGAGGGUGACCGGCCACAUUGGGACUGAGACACGGCCCAGACUCCUACGGGAGGCAGCAGUGGGGAAUAUUGCACAAUGGGCGGAAGCCUGAUGCAGCAACGCCGCGUGCGGGAUGACGGCCUUCGGGUUGUAAACCGCUUUCGCCUGCGACGAAGCGUGAGUGACGGUAAUGGGUAAAGAAGCACCGGCUAACUACGUG
rnacentral:rRNA from 1 species